UGUUCUUUUAUUUUGUUACAUUUCAUUUGACCUAUAUCCUGUUUUCCUCUGCAUCAGAAUGGUCAUUAAAGGUUUGCAAGUGAGCAAAAACUGACUAAUGUUCAGCUAUGCUACUAGUCUAUAUGAAAAAAUAUCUAUUUGAUAUUUUAAAUGUUAUAUUACAUGUGAAUAAAUGUGACUAUUUAACUGUUUAACUCUGUCCAACAUACAGGGAAUGUUUUUACAUAUUUCCACCUGUUGGACAUCAAAUACAUUCUGCAUUCAUUUAAAGAGAAACUUUAUUAAGUGAUGCAGUUAUUAAAGACAAACUUUUACUAUUUUUUUUUAGAAAAUGAUGUCACGUUCUUCAUUAACUGUCUUAAGAGGAAGACCAUAGCGGUCCACCUGUGUGACAAUAAGUUUCAGAGCGUCACAGUGCUGCAGCUGAAGGAGAAGUUGGAGCCUCUAACAGGAUUCCCAGUAGAUCAACAGCGACUGAUCUUCGGAGACAAACAGCUGGAGGACGAUGCUCUGCUGGUUUCAUGUGGAAUCCAUCAUGAGGCAACCAUUGAGUUAAUUCUAAAUGUCACGGUCAUCGUGAAAGAUUUGACUGGGAAGACCAUAAAGUUCGACCUGCCCGAUAAUGAGUUUCAGAGCAUCUCAGUGCUGCAGCUGAAGGAGAAGUUGGA